rnacentral:rRNA from 1 species
GACGAACGCUGGCGGUGUGCUUCAUACAUGCAAGUCGAACGAUAAGGCCCUUCGGGGUACAUAAGUGGCGGACGGGUGAGUAACACGUAGGAAACCUUCCUUAAGGUGGGGGACAACUCCGGGAAACUGGAGCUAAUACCCCAUAUGUGUCUAGUUGAAAUACUAGCCAUGAAAGAUUUAUUGCCUUAAGAUGGGCCUGCGUCUGAUUAGCUUGUUGGUGGGGUAAUGGCCUACCAAGGCGACGAUCAGUAGCUGGUUUGAGAGGAUGAUCAGCCACAAUGGGGCUGAGACACGGCCCAUACUCCUACGGGAGGCAGCAGUAGGGAAUUUUGCGCAAUGGGGGAAACCCUGACGCAGCAACACCGCGUGAGCGAUGAAGCCCUUCGGGGUGUAAAGCUCUGUCGGCAGGGACGAAAUUUGACGGUACCUGCAAAGGAAGCAUCGGCUAACUACGUGCCAGCAGCCGCCGUAAUAC